rnacentral:rRNA from 1 species
UACGUAGGGUGCGAGCGUUAAUCGGAAUUACUGGGCGUAAAGCGUGCGCAGGCGGCGCGUUAAGACAGGUGUGAAAGCCCCGAGCUUAACUUGGGAAUUGCGCUUGUGACUGGCGGGCUGGAGUGUGGCAGAGGGGGGUAGAAUUCCACGUGUAGCAGUGAAAUGCGUAGAGAUGUGGAGGAAUACCGAUGGCGAAGUCAGCCCCCUGGGCCAACACUGACGCUCAUGCACGAAAGCGUGGGGAGCAAACAGG